AGAGUUUGAUCAUGGCUCAGAAUCAACGCUGGCGGCGUGCCUAACACAUGCAAGUCGAACGAGAAAAGUGGAGCAAUCCAUGAGUAAAGUGGCGCACGGGUGAGUAACACGUGACUAACCUACCCUUGAGUGGGGGAUAACUGAGGGAAACCUUAGCUAAUACCGCAUAACACCUACGGGUCAAAGGAGCAAUUCGCUCGAGGAGGGGGUCGCGGUCGAUUAGUUAGUUGGCGGGGUAACGGCCCACCAAGACGAUGAUCGGUAUCCGGCCUGAGAGGGCGCACGGACACACUGGAACUGAAACACGGUCCAGACUCCUACGGGAGGCAGCAGUGGGGAAUUUUGCGCAAUGGGGGAAACCCUGACGCAGCAACGCCGCGUGGAGGAUGAAGUCCUUCGGGACGUAAACUCCUUUCGAUCGGGACGAUUAUGACGGUACCGGAAGAAGAAGCCCCGGCUAACUUCGUGCCAGCAGCCGCGGUAAUACGAGGGGGGCGAGCGUUGUUCGGAAUUAUUGGGCGUAAAGGGUGCGUAGGCGGUUUGGCAAGUCUUAUGUGAAAUCUAUGGGCUCAACUCAUAGACUGCAUGAGAAACUGCCGGGCUCGAGUGUGGGAGAGGUGAGUGGAAUUUCCGGUGUAGCGGUGAAAUGCGUAGAUAUCGGAAGGAACACCUGUGGCGAAAGCGGCUCACUGGACCACAACUGACGCUGAUGCACGAAAGCUAGGGGAGCAAACAGGAUUAGAUACCCCCGUAGUCC
rnacentral:rRNA from 1 species